GGGGUUGUGGCUUAGCGAUAGAGUGCUCGCCUAGCACGUGUGAGGCACUGGGUUCAAUCCUCAGAACCACA
rnacentral:tRNA from 1 species